GACGUAGGGCGCGAGCGUUGUCCGGAAUCAUUGGGCGUAAAGAGCGUGUAGGUGGCGGCGUAAGUUGGACGUGAAAUCGCCCGGCUCAACCGGGCGGGGUCGUUCAAUACUGCGCGGCUGGAGGAGGUCAGAGGGAAGUGGAAUUCCUGGUGUAGCAGUGAGAUGCGUAGAUAUCAGGAGGAACACCCGUGGCGAAGGCGGCUUCCUGGGGCCAUCCUGACACUGAGAAGCGAAAGCUAGGGGAGCGAACGGG
rnacentral:rRNA from 1 species